GAUGAACGCUGGCGGCGUGCCUAAUACAUGCAAGUCGAGCGAACAGACGAGGAGCUUGCUCCUCUGACGUUAGCGGCGGACGGGUGAGUAACACGUGGAUAACCUACCUAUAAGACUGGGAUAACUUCGGGAAACCGGAGCUAAUACCGGAUAAUAUAUUGAACCGCAUGGUUCAAUAGUGAAAGACGGUUUUGCUGUCACUUAUAGAUGGAUCCGCGCCGCAUUAGCUAGUUGGUAAGGUAACGGCUUACCGAGGCAACGAUGCGUAGCCGACCUGAGAGGGUGAUCGGCCACACUGGAACUGAGACACGGUCCAGACUCCUACGGGAGGCAGCAGUAGGGAAUCUUCCGCAAUGGGCGAAAUCCUGACGGAGCAACGCCGCGUGAGUGAUGAAGGUCUUCGGAUCGUAAAACUCUGUUAUUAGGGAAGAACAAAUGUGUAAGUAACUAUGCACGUCUUGACGGUACCUAAUCAGAAAGCCACGGCUAACUACGUG
rnacentral:rRNA from 1 species